rnacentral:rRNA from 1 species
AUUGAACGCUGGCGGCAUGCCUUACACAUGCAAGUCGAGCGGCAGCAGGGAGCUUGGGCUUGGAUUCAGCGGCGGACGGGUGAGUAAUGCAUAGGAACCUGCCUGGUCGUGGGGGAUAACGCCCGGAAAGGGGUGCUAAUACCGCAUACGUCCUGAGGGGGAAAGCGGGGGAUCGUCAGACCUCGCGCGAUUGGAUUGGCCGAGGUCGGAUUAGCUAGUUGGUGGGGUAAAGGCCUACCAAGGCGACGAUCCGUAGCUGGUCUGAGAGGAUGAUCAGCCACACUGGAACUGAGACACGGCCCAGACUCCUACGGGAGGCAGCAGUGGGGAAUUUUGGACAAUGGGCGCAAGCCUGAUCCAGCCAUGCCGCGUGUGUGAAGAAGGUCUUCGGAUUGUAAAGCUCUUUCGGUAGGGAGGAAGCGGUGGGAGUUAAUAUCGUGCUGUUUUGACGGUACCUGCAGAAGAAGCACCGGCUAACUACGUG